ACUCCUACGGGAGGCAGCAGUGGGGAAUAUUGCACAAUGGGCGCAAGCCUGAUGCAGCCAUGCCGCGUGUAUGAAGAAGGCCUUCGGGUUGUAAAGUACUUUCAGCAGUGAGGAAGGUGGAUAUGUUAAUAGCAUAUUCAUUUGUACGUUAGCUGCAGAAGAAGCACCGGCUAACUCCGUGCCAGCAGCCGCGGUAAUACGGAGGGUGCGAGCGUUAAUCGGAAUUACUGGGCGUAAAGCGCAUGCAGGUGGUUUGUUAAGUCAGAUGUGAAAGCCCGGGGCUCAACCUCGGAAUUGCAUUUGAAACUGGCAAACUAGAGUACUGUAAGAGGGGGGUAGAAUUUCAGGUGUAGCGGUGAAAUGCGUAGAGAUCUGAAGGAAUACCGGUGGCGAAGGCGGCCCCCUGGACAGAUACUGACACUCAGAUGCGAAAGCGUGGGGAGCAAACAGGAUUAGAUACCAUGGUAGGCUC
rnacentral:rRNA from 1 species